AUGGCGCCAAGGAAGAUGGACUCUGUGGUGCCGCCGCUCUCCGAGUUCCCCAGCCCCACCGCCGCCCGCACCAGGAUGGCCGUGCCGGCGUACGAGAUCAUGUUCGGCAAGCUCCAGCUUCGCAGCCUGUUCGACGACUACUUCCAUCAGCCAGGCAGCGUCAACGCCGGCAUCAUAUUGAAGACGCCGGAGGAUCCUACUGUUCAACUCAGCGCCGCCAUGUCUCCAGCUGGUGGGGAGGCCAUGUUUCGGUGGCAGAGGGAUCUGGAUAAUCCCAACACAUAUGUGGACCUGCUCGCGUCAACCGCAAAACCUAUGUUGCAGGUGAAAUCAUGUGCUUACUAUCCAAAGUAUGGCAUUGGCGCUUUCGGAACAUUCCCUUUGCUUAUGGCAAACAGGGGGCAGGGUAAAGAAGAUUACGGUGUCAUGUGUGUAAGAUAUGGUUCAAAGAAUCUGUCGGUUGGAGCGUCCUUCCUGCCAUUUGCUGUAUCUGGUGAGGUACCCUAUGGUGCAUGGCUGGUUACGAGGAAAGGAAGAUUAAGUGCAGGGGUACAGUACAAGCCACUUGGUCCAGCAGGUGAAAGCGAGAACACUGCACCUUUCAAUGACUUGAAAAACUGGAAUUGCGCAAUCAGUUAUGGCACAGGGUCAACUAGCCUACUCAGCCCUUCAUACAUUUUUGCUCUAGAGCUUCUUCGAAGAACACAGCUGGUUGCAUCAUUCUAUAGGCGCCAUGUUAUCGACACAAAGGAAAUAAAAAAAGGUGUUCCCUUUUUUGGAACCAAAGGCUACGUUGAUUUUGGGCUUGAGUUGAACAGAAGGUAA
rnacentral:rRNA from 1 species